GAUAAGAGAGGCAGAGUCCAGCCCCUGGAGAAGGGGACUGGCACAGCUUCUGCGGGAUGGAGUGGGAGGGUGCCAUUCCAGAGUCCUUGUGAAGAACCUUCUAAAGCUGGAAAACAGGAGCCCCGGAGAAGUCCAGACAGACGCACCUACUCCAGGGACUAAUGUGGAGACUGCAGCCCCCAGGGGUUCAGCUCACCCCACGCAGGACGCACGAGGUAUAGAAACGACAGGUGGUCUGGACCACAUUCGCCAUUGUUCUUGGUAGAUUUCCGGGCGAGGGAAAUAUAUUCAUUCACGUAUAUUCGUUGAGCUCCUCCUGAGUGCCAGACGUUGCACCAAGUGCUAGUUAACUAAAGGAUGAAGAAAGAUGCUAAAUUGCUGUAAUAUGUACUUGGCAGAACAACAGAUCGGAGCUAUUACAAUUACAUGGUCAUUACAUUACACGACAUGGGAGAGAAUAAACGCAGCUUUGGCUAGGAAAAGAUUUCAGAAGCAGAAGAACUGUGCAGGACAACACAAGGAAGAUCGGAGAAGCAGCCGGAUGCGUAAACGAGGGAAAAUCACAGAUGCUGUGAGGCAGUUACCAACACCUCUGAUUUUACUCACCGCCAAUCACUGCACAACUGAAUUUAGGGGGGGAUAAGGAGAAGGGUGAGUCAGGCAGUGUAGAUGGCAUAGGUCACAAUGGGAACCGUAGUUUAGUUUGCAUUUCUCCCCACAAAGUCACACGAACAGGCGUAAUGUAUCUUCCCACAUCCUGCCCUCGACUGUGGAGCUGAGGCUGGUGCUUGCACCUUCCUUACGGCAAACUGCAAAUGCCUCCGAGUCUGCCCAUUUUUCUGUUAGGGCUGCCUGUUAACCUGGGAGAGGCUGGAAAACCUUGGGGCCAUCACCAGUGCUUUGGGAGCAGAUGUGGGACUCAUAUUUAUCGUGCCAAGGCAGCUGCCCUCUUGCUUCACACACUUGGCAUGUGCCAUUGAGAGCUAACCUGUGACCAUUUUAAAUAGGAGAAACGUAUAAAUUAAUAAAUGGGGAGGAGAGGCAAAAAGGGUGAAUUGUUUGUAGUUUGUCAUUUCAAAACGCGUUUAAAUGUUUUUUUAAAUGCAUUUUGGCUGCCUGGGCAGUUUAACUAAUUAAUUAAUUAACAUUAAGACUCAAGUUUAUUUUUUCAUGUACACUUAAAAACAUACUAAGCAUCGCUCCUUCCUCUGAUUCUCCAAUUAUGUGAAGAAGCCUUUUUCAUUGUUUUUCUCCUCGACUUCUGUCCUUUCCUCUGUCCUUGAGCCUGGGCAGUUUAAGUUUCUCAUACUGCUGUGUUCUAUGAUUGGAAAGAGCUUUUUGCCAGUUUAACUGAGGGCCCAAGCCCUGUCGUUACUAAUAAGGCUUAGCCAUCCUGUUGACUGUAUGUUAACUGAAAAUGUGCCAGUUAAGGGAAAUCAAUGAGGCCAAAAAUAGUCCCUCUGGUUUCCAGAGAUGUAAGGAAACUAAUUUCUAGGCAUCAGAUGCUUCAUUCAAAAAUAACUGUAUUUAACAAAAUGAUAAAUGUCUUCUGAGUCACAGAGGUACACUGGUUAGU